CUGGCUCAGGAUGAACGCUAGCGACAGGCUAACACAUGCAAGUCGAGGGGCAGCAUAAAAGUAGCAAUACUUUGGUGGCGACCGGCGCACGGGUGAGUAACGCGUAUGCAACCUACCUACCAGAGGGGAAUAACCCGGCGAAAGUCGGACUAAUACCGCAUAAAACAGGGGCACCGCAUGGUGAUAUUUGUUAAAGAAAUUCGCUGAUAGAUGGGCAUGCGUUCCAUUAGGUAGUUGGUGAGGUAACGGCUCACCAAGCCGACGAUGGAUAGGGGAACUGAGAGGUUGGUCCCCCACACUGGUACUGAGACACGGACCAGACUCCUACGGGAGGCAGCAGUGAGGAAUAUUGGUCAAUGGGCGGGAGCCUGAACCAGCCAAGUCGCGUGAAGGAAGAAGGAUCUAUGGUUCGUAAACUUCUUUGCAGGGGAAUAAAGUGCAGGACGUGUCCUGUUUUGUAUGUACCCUGAGAAUAAGGAUCGGCUAACUCCGUGCCAGCCGCCGC
rnacentral:rRNA from 1 species